UGAUGCAGCAACGCCGCGUGAGCGAUGAAGGCCUUCGGGUUGUAAAGCUCUUUUCUAUGGGAAGAGACAAGGACGGUACCAUAGGAACAAGUCUCGGCUAACUACGUGCCAGCAGCCGCGGUAAAACGUAGGAGGCGAGCGUUAUCCGGAUUUACUGGGCGUAAAGGGCAAGUAGGCGGUAGCCAAAGUUGGAUGUGAAAUCUCCCGGCCUAACUGGGAGGGAGCGUUCAAAACUAGGUUACUAGAGGGCAGAAGAGGGGGGUGGAACUCCUAGUGUAGCGGUGGAAUGCUCAGAUAUUAGGAAGAACACCAGUGGCGAAGGCGACCCCCCGGUCUGAACCUGACGCUGAGAGGCGAAAGCUAGGGUAGCAAACGGGCUUAGAUACCCCGGUAGUCCUAGCUGUAAACGUUGGAUACUAGGUAUUGGGGGUAAUACUCCCUCAGUGCCGUAGCAAACGCGUUAAGUAUCCCGCCUGGGGACUACGGCCGCAAGGUUAAAACUCAAAGGAAUUGACGGGAGCCCGCACAAGCAGCGGAGCGUGUGGUUUAAUUCGAUGAUACACGAAGAACCUUACCUGGGUUUGACAUAUACGUAGUAGCGAGCCGAAAGGUGAGCGAGCCUUCGGGCAGCGUAUACAGGUGCUGCAUGGCUGUCGUCAGCUCGUGCCGUGAGGUGUCGGGUUAAGUCCCGCAACGAGCGCAACCCUCGUUGCUAGUUACAUGUUCUCGCGAG
rnacentral:rRNA from 1 species